GUUGGUGAACCAGCGGAGGGAUCAUUACAGAGUUGCAAAACUCCCAACCAUUGUGAAUCUACCUCACCGUUGCCUCGGCGGGUGGCCCCUCCCCCUCACCCGGGGUUUGGCCGCGCCGGCUCCCGGCUCCCGGGCCGCCGGCAAGCCCGCCAGAGGACCCGCAACUCUUAGUCAUCAUUGGCCUCUCUGAGUAACUUAUACAAUAAGUCAAAACUUUCAACAACGGAUCUCUUGGUUCUG
rnacentral:misc_RNA from 1 species